rnacentral:rRNA from 1 species
UCCUCAAUUAGAUUAUUUGAGGUAGAACCUGCUCAAUGCGAUAAAGUAAAUAGCCGCAGUAUUCUAACUGUGCAAAGGUAGCAUAAUAAAUUGGCUUUUAAUUGAAGUCUGGAAUGAAUGGUUUGACAAGGAUUAAACUGUCUUGGAGUAAGAAAUUUUGAAUUUUAAUUGUCUGUAAAAAUGCAGACAUAGAAGAGAGGGACGAGAAGACCCUAUAGAUCUUUAAUAGACUAUGGAAAAAAUUUUUUUGAAGAUCAAUAGUUCUAUUUUAUUUGGGGAAAAUCCUGAAAGAGAAAACUUCGGUUAAAAUGAAAUAAAAAUUUAAACAAUUGAUUUUUGAUCCACUGAGAGUGAAAAAAUGAAAAAGUUACCUUAGGGAUAACAGGACAAUGAUUUUCUUAGAGAUCUUAUCUUAGAGAACGUUUGUUACCUCGAUGUUGAAUUAAGUUAUCUAAAAAAAGGAGAAAUUUUUAUAGUUGGUCUGUUCGACCAUUAAAAAC